UAUAGUAAAGAUGCAAAAUCACUUCGUCUCUAAUGCCAAACUUUAAGUUACGACACUUUGAAUAUGAACAUCUAAUUUUAUUUCCAUCUAUAUUUUGAGGUUAUGAAAAUACAAACCGAAGGAAUCUUUCAACUCCUUCCUUAAAUUCAUCAGUGACAUAUCCAUUUCUCAAAUGAUUAUACAUCCAACUAUGAUCUCUCGAUA
rnacentral:lncRNA from 1 species